GGGUGAGUAACACGUGAGAAUCUGGCUUCAGGUUCGGGACAACAGAGGGAAACCGCUGCUAAUACCGGAUAUGCCUGUGGGUAAAAGAUUAAUUGCCUGAAGAUGAUCUCGCGGCCGAUUAGCUAGUUGGUAGGCUAUAACCCUACCAAGGCGACGAUCAAUAG
rnacentral:rRNA from 1 species